GCUCCAGUGGCCUAGUGCUUAGAGCGUCCGCCUCAGAUGCGAGAGGUCGCGGGUUUAAACCCCAGCCGAGUCA